GAUACCUGCUUCCUUCCUAACCAACUCAUCAGAAUCAGGAACACAAAGAAACUGUCAGCAAGUAAAAGAGGGUUAUGCUUUUUGUUAAUGCCUGGAUUGCAAAAGGCAAAGAGAGGGGAAUAAAGAAGAGAAAGCAAAGGAAGAAAAGCCAACCGCAGAGAGAGCAGUGAUCUUUUUGGAGGAGGCCAGGGGAGGCAAUUGGUAUAUAUGCAGAUGGCGACUUGACACUAUACCAAUAAUGAACUCACUAAUCAAUCAUUAGGAGUUAAAAAGAAGAUGGGUGUGGGGGCAUGAACAUGAUGCGCGUCAACGCACGGCAAUAAAGAAGUUUGUACACAUUUUUCACAGGGAUUGCACAUGUAUAUAUCUCUCUCUCUCCAUGGAUGGUCCCGGCCGAGCUCUGAGUCCUAUGUACGCAUACAUGCAUGCAUCAUACUGUAUGCACAUGUGCAAUGAUCAUCGUUCAUGCAUGCAAUGUGCAAAACCAUGCAUGUAAAUUUGCUAAACAAUCCCAUGAAAGAUUUUCAUGCAUAGAGUAGUAUAGAGAUAAACAAUACUACUAC